AACUAGUGUAUGACGUUUCAGU
rnacentral:miRNA from 1 species